ACUGUGGGUUGAAACGAUAACGUGCCAUAUCUACUUAGUGGAUAGUGUAAUUUUAGUACUGCUUGAGCUGUUGGCACGUACAAAGAUGUCAGAUGAAACUCCCCUAAAUGAAACCCAGCUAGUGGGACUAGAGAGAAAGCAUGUAUAGUUCAAGUCCAGGUUUUAUGAUGCCCAGAAGUGUGCCAAAGGUGCAACCUAUGUGCAAAUGGCUAAUGGCAGUAACAGAGGCCCAGUUACUGAUAGGCUCAUCAAUAAAGGAAGCAUUUGAG
rnacentral:misc_RNA from 1 species